UAGCAGCAGUGAGAUGAAGAGUGCCAUCUACUCCACUGCACGUCUGCACGUCUGCACUGAGUAGGAGAAGGAAGAGAAAAUAAAAAGGAGUGUGGAAACACAGCAUUCAGGAAGACUUCAUCCAUCCAAAAGCUACGUCAGCACUGAAAAACUUAAGCCAGACAUGGAACACAAGACAAACGAGUGUCCUGCCACCACCUCUCCUCAGAAGCACAUGAAGAACAGAUCCAAGUCCACAGAGGAGAUGCAACAGACGAAGAAGACCUUUUCUUCACAAAAAUCGCUCCCAGGAGUACCAGAGCUGGACAAAGUGAAGGAGUGUCCUGAUGGCUCUGAGGUGCCCUCACCCUCCACAGAGGAACAAAAGUGAAAAAUGGCGGGCUGGCGGGAUUCCAUUAUUCAUCAAUUUACAAGAUCAUCACAAACACGAGGAGUAUAAAAAUGUACAUAUGUGCACAAGGAAACCCACAAAAUAAUGAUAACAGUGAUCUAGAUUUUAAAACAUGCAAUUAAUCUGGAAUUGUUUGAAGGGAAAUGUGAACUCACCAAUGUUGAUUGUCCUGUAAGGGGUGUAUACAUAUCAAACUACAUGUGUGUUGACAAUAAAGUGAAUCUGUCUUCA